ensembl:lncRNA
ACUUAACACACGCCAUGCCAAACACAGUGCAGGCUACUUUUUGACAAGGGAAUUUUCACUGUGUAUGUACUUGUAUUUGGAUCUGGUACGAAACUUUAUGUGACAGACAACAAUAGUGUACAAAAACCCAAAGUGACGGUCUACCCAGCGUCCAAACCUGAGCCAAAUAGGAAAACCACCCUGCUAUGUCUGGCUAGAGACAUGUUUCCAGACUUGGUCAAGAUUUCAUGGAAGAUGGUGGAUGAAAAUGGCCGAACAGUAGAGGUACCCAAAGCAGAGAGGGAAGAGCUGGAGCAGAGGGAGGAAGGACGGACGACCAGUAUGAUCAUCAUUGAUAAAGGCAAGACAUACAGCAACAAAUACAGCUGUUCUGUGGAACAUGAAGGGGGCCCUCAAGAUGUUGACAUACCAAAAGAGGAACCAACUGAAUCUUCUCCAACCACCAUGGCUGCACCAACCACUUUGCAGGUUACCUAUGCUUCUCCAACCACCAUGGCUGCACCAACCACUCUGCAGGUUACCAACGAUUCAUUCAAGUCCAUAUGCGGUCUGAACUUGGCCUCUCUGGUUUACACAGUGAUGAUAGUGAAGAGCAUGGUGUACUGCUAUGGGCUCUCUUUCCUGCUGCACUACAGGAACAUGGGUUGUAGACCCAAAACCUGUAGACAAAUUCAUUGAAAGGAUAUCCCUAUAUAUUGUGUUUCCCUCCUUAAAAUGAAUAUCACAUAAUAUUUACUUUUGAUGAUUGUGGGAGCCACCCACUACAGACACUUGAAUACGGUUCAGUUAAGGAGAGCAAAUCUUGAUGGUAGAAAUAUGAUUGAAAUAGUUUUAUUAAAGUUGCCUUGCUAUAUGUCAUAGCGUCAGAUUACUUUUUUACAAAAUCUGUAUUUGAUUUUUACAAAAAUAUUUACCUAAUUAUCAUAUGUAUUUCUUUAAAUAUGUCAUUAUUAAAUAUAUAGGCCCUUGAUUUCUAAAUAUGUGUCAUUAUACAAAAUCAUUUUUAGUAACUUGUCAAGUGUGUAAUGAAGUGUAUUUUUUCUCAAGUAAUUAGAGUUAGUUUUCUGACAGUAUUUCAUAUCGUCAUUAAAUGUUCUCAUUCAUUUACCAUGAAUAAUAGAAAAUCUAGCUUUUUUUUUGCUUUAAAAAACUAAAUGAUAAGUGCUUAUUGAGCCAGAAAAUUGAUCUAUGAGUGAAAUCAGUAAUUUGUAAUUUUUUACAUUGAUACAAUGCUGUUGUUGUUUAUUUUUUUACAUUGAUACAUAAAGCUUGUAUGAAAAGUGACAUUUUCCUUGUGUAACACAGCCUUGUAGUGAGCAAAGUUUCUCAAAAUAACCAUAUAAUUUCAGAUGGGGAUGGGUUUAAUUAUUGCUGCCUUCAUGAAAUAAAAGUUAAAACAAACAUGGUUCUGCAAUGUAUUGUAUAGCCUACAUUUUGUACAGUUCCGUGCUAUUUUGAAUGAGGAAACUGUCACCAUAAUAAAAAAUUUAUGAUUCUUAAAACCCCCAAAACAUUGUAUUUCUUAUAAGAACAUCUAUUCUUAUUUUAGAACAUUUUAAAUUAUUGAAUCACAUCAGAAACGGAACAAUAAGAUCAUAAGAUCCCUUAUUCUCUGUUUUCAACCUGUUUG